rnacentral:lncRNA from 1 species
UAUUAGGUGGUGCAUCAUGUUGUGCAUUUGCCAUGGUGAAUAUCGUGUGUUGAUGCUUGUUUCCGUUUCCUCCAUCUUGAUAGAGUUCCGCAAGCGUGUCGGAAUGUGAGGACCCGUUCGACUACGUUGGUUCGCUGACUUCACGGAGUCAUUCUUCUUCCAAGCGGGAUCUCGGGCAAGAUGACCAUUUCCCCAGAUACCAUUACUAUCAUUGCGAUGCUAGUU